rnacentral:rRNA from 1 species
AUUGAACGCUGGCGGCAGGCCUAACACAUGCAAGUCGAGCGGAGCGGCGGACGGGUGAGUAAUGCCUAGGACUCUGCCUGGUAGUGGGGGAUAACGUCCGGAAACGGGCGCUAAUACCGCAUACUAUCAGAUGAGCCUAGGUCGGAGUAGCUAGUUGGUGGGGUAAAGGCCUACCAAGGCGACGAUCCGUAACUGGUCUGAGAGGAUGAUCAGUCACACUGGAACUGAUAGAAGGUCCAGACGACUACGUGAGGCAGCAGGGGGGAAUAUUGGAGAAUGGGCUAAAGCCUGAUCCAGCCAUGCCGCGUGUGUGAAGAAGGUCUUAGGAUUGUAAAGCACUUUAAGUUGGGAGGCGUUACCAACAGAAUAAGCACCGGCUAACUUCGUGCCAGCAGCCGCGGUAAUUC